GACAGAGGUGCCGAGCGUUAGGCGGAAUCACUGGGCUUAAAGCGUGUGUAGGCGGAUCGUUAAGUACCUUGUGAAAUCCCACGGCUUAACCGUGGAACUGCUGGGUAUACUGGCGAUCUUGAGGUGCUCAGGGGCGAGCGGAACAGAUGGUGGAGCGGUGAAAUGCGAAGAUAUCAUCUGGAACGCCUGCGGUGAAAACGGCUCGCUGGGAGCAAUCUGACGCUGAGACACGAAAGCCAGGGGAGCGAACGGG
rnacentral:rRNA from 1 species